GAUGAACGCUGGCGGCGUGCUUAACGCAUGCAAGUCGAACGAAGCACUUUAUUUGAUUUCCUUCGGGACUGAUUAUUUUGUGACUGAGUGGCGGACGGGUGAGUAACGCGUGGGUAACCUGCCUUGUACAGGGGGAUAACAGUUGGAAACGGCUGCUAAUACCGCAUAAGCGCACGGCAUCGCAUGAUGCAGUGUGAAAAACUCCGGUGGUAUAAGAUGGACCCGCGUUGGAUUAGCUAGUUGGUGAGGUAACGGCCCACCAAGGCGACGAUCCAUAGCCGACCUGAGAGGGUGACCGGCCACAUUGGGACUGAGACACGGCCCAAACUCCUACGGGAGGCAGCAGUGGGGAAUAUUGCACAAUGGGCGAAAGCCUGAUGCAGCGGCGCCGCGUGAGCGAAGAAGUAUUUCGGUAUGUAAAGCUCUAUCAGCAGGGAAGAUAAUGACGGUACCUGACUAAGAAGCACCGGCUAAAUACGUG
rnacentral:rRNA from 1 species